rnacentral:rRNA from 1 species
UACGUAGGUCCCGAGCGUUGUCCGGAUUUAUUGGGCGUAAAGCGAGCGCAGGUGGUUUAUUAAGUCUGGUGUAAAAGGCAGUGGCUCAACCAUUGUAUGCAUUGGAAACUGGUAGACUUGAGUGCAGGAGAGGAGAGUGGAAUUCCAUGUGUAGCGGUGAAAUGCGUAGAUAUAUGGAGGAACACCGGUGGCGAAAGCGGCCCUCUGGCCUGUAACUGGCACUGAGGCUCGAAAGCGUGGGGAGCAAACAGG